UACGUAGGGUGCAAGCGUUUAUCCGGAAUUAUUGGGCGUAAAGAGCUCGUAGGCGGUUUGUCACGUCUGCUGUGAAAACUGGAGGCUCAACCUCCAGCCUGCAGUGGGUACGGGCAGACUAGAGUGCGGUAGGGGGAGAUUGGAAUUCCUGGUGUAGCGGUGGAAUGCGCAGAUAUCAGGAGGAACACCGAUGGCGAAGGCAGAUCUCUGGGACGGUACUGACGCUAAGGCGCGAAAGCGUGGGGAGCGAACAGG
rnacentral:rRNA from 1 species